AAACACAGACAAUAACCACGGUAACGUAGAUAGACCGUCCACCAUGGAGACAGGUUCAGAGGUCACCUAGAUGUAGAGGGAAUUAUGGGAAAUGUUUUACAUCACUGAUAAUGACACAUGAUGAUGAUGAUGAUGAUGAUGAUGAUGAUGAUGAUGAUGAUGGAAGAGAUUACAACUGAAAACACACAGGAAUAUUGCUAAACAAGACAAUCGGAUUGCAUUGUUGGUACAUGUUCAAAAAGGUAUCAAUGGAUGGCAGCUAAUGUUGUGCAAAUGAUUGAAUUUUAUGCUACUGGUGUAUCAGUAUUUGACAAUAUACAGUCAUGUAGUUUGUAAAUUUGCACAUACAUGUAUGAAGAUAUACAUAAGAUUUUGAAACAGCAAGCUUGAAACUGUACAUGUAAGUGUAUGUAAGCCUUUUUUGUGAAGUUGAAAUGAUGUGCAAUUUUGAUUACCUGUUUUUGAAUUUAUGUUUUAUAGCUAGGUUACAUACAUGUACAUUGUACGUUGAUUAUAAAAUUGUCUCAAG
rnacentral:misc_RNA from 1 species